CCCACGCCACCUCCCCGUCCCCGAACUGGCGUGCACAAAGUAUCUGCUGAUCUACCGUGUGCCAUGACUAGUGCAAUGAUGGUGCAAUGGUGACUGUCUAGUCUCGGAACAAAGCUGUCAGCAUUAGUGACAACGCCACUGAAAUCAGCAGCCAGGCUGCUCUGACCCACCAGUGCCGCGCGCAGGUGGAGUGGGGCUGCAUCGGUCACGGACGAGGAGGCUGGGCAGCUCCGCCGGGAACUCCCAAGUUAAGAGAACUUAAAAAUAGCUCUAUGCACCGUCCUGCCAGCUGACACCCCAGAUAUUUAAGGCUCACUCUGAAAUGAUGUCACGUUUCCAUUCUUGCGCUCCCAAAUUCCCUGACUUCCCUGGCCCUGCUUCUCCGAGCACCUUUCUCAGAGGAAUGAAGGCCUUCUCCAGGUGAUGUCUGCCUGCACUACACAGGGCCCAAAGACCUCGGGGGCCACGGCAGGGGCAGUGCUGGCAGCUGCCGGUCUGCGUGCUGGCUCUCCCCACUUCUGAGCGGGUGUGCUUUCUGCCAAAGCACCACGACGGGAGGGGACAGCUGCAGUGCUCCCUGCCCCCUCCCCCAGAGCUAUAAAAAGCCCCAACACCCAAGUGAGCAGAGGACACGCCGAGCAGAAGUGCAGAACUUUGCUGGACACGAGGAGCUCGGCUCAACGGCCAUGCUGAGGUUAGCCUCCGCCAGCAGGCUGCUGCCAGCCCCCCGGAGCGGCUGGGUGCUUCCCAAGGCACACGUCUCCGCUAAGCCAGCCAGAACACCCACUUCUCCCAUGGAGCAAGCCAUCGGGCUCUCGGUGAUGUUCCUCAGCUUCCUGAUUCCUGCAGGCUGGGUCUUACACCACCUGGAGAGCUACAAGAGAAGCUCGGCAGCAUGAAGGCUCUGUGGUUCCAGCUCCAGGCACAGGAUGAAAGAUCGCAUUAAACCCUUCCCUUCA